AUUCAAGGUGAUUUCCUCUCCAAGGGCCAAAAGUUCCUACUUAGGAAAGUAGGAACUUGGAGGAAAAUCUGUUCUAAAUAA
rnacentral:snoRNA from 1 species